rnacentral:rRNA from 1 species
AGCACUAUUCGUGUGGCGCUAGCUAGACACCCCCAGAGGUGGAAACCUCCAGUAGCAGGUAUGGUCAAAAUCAAUGUUGAUGGAGGGCUAUCCCGUGAUGGCGCCACUGGUGCUUCUGCCGCUGUUUGUAGGGACGACGAAGGCAGGUUCCUAGGAUCCUCGUCGAUGGUGUUUCCGGGAGUUAUAGACCCUGCCUGUUUAGAGGCCUUAGCAUGUCGAGAAGCUCAAGCACUAGCCAUGGAUUUGACUCUAGGCAAAGUCACUAUUUCAUGCGACAGCAAAGGGGUUGUGGAGGAUAUUAAAAAAAUGAUGUUCGUGGCAUGA